UUCAAUGUCCUUUUGACGAUUUCAAUUUUCAAAACUUUCCUUGUAAAUCGCUUCAUUUUCUUUUUUAUUUUGAAACUUUCUCUCUUCCAUUCUUCAUCUCCUGAAGCUUUCCUAAUCUGGUUCGUACACCCCAUCAUACCUUGUUUGAUCUUCAGCAUACGCAGGGACCUCCAUUUCCAGGUAUAUUUCCUCUCUUCUUCUUAGCGUUUCUUUUGCAAGAAUAUGUGCAAGAUUGUUCGCAGAUCUUGGUGUAGGUUGAAAUCUGAUAUUAUUUAAGCCUUUUAUUUUCUGUUGGAUAUCAUAAAUAUAUGCCCCUACCAGUGAUCGAUCUUGACCCUUUGUGUUGCAUUUCUUUAUUAUUACGAGGGAAUCUCCUUCAAAGAUAAUUGACUGCCAUCCCUUUUUCGACUCCUACUUGGACUGCUUUCCAACGGGCUAUUGAUUCAGCAGCAAGAGCAGAGGAUAUGUCUUUGUGGAUUUCUGAACAAGAUAAAAGAACUUUUCCUUCCGCAUCUCUGGCCACAAUAUCUGAAGCUGACCGGUUCUGGCUCUCAUUGUAUGCACCGUCAAAGUUAAUCUUGAUGAAAUCCAACUGUGGGUACCUCCAUCUUUUGUUUUCUGUUAUUAUUACUGGGUCUCUUUUUUCAAAACCAGUUAGCUCAGUAAUGUAAUUGUUUAUAAAAUUUGUAAUUUCCUUUCCAUUUCUGACUUUUUCUUCGUGUACUCUUCUGUUUCAAUCUCAUCAUAUGGCCCAAAGUGUGCAGCAGAAAAGGUGACCUUGACAAGGGUUGAGCUGCUCAAACACCUAGAUAAGCCACUGUACAAAGUCCGUGUUUUGAUUCAUCAUAAUAUUCUGAAAUGAUAGUGUUAUCCAUACUUCUACUGUAACAGGGCAUUCUCGAAAUAAAUGGUUCAUUGUUUCAGCUCUUUCUUCACAUCGGGGACAAUUUGUGUUGACUGCUAGCUUCCUGUGCUGCAUAUUUACCUUUGUAGGCAGAUAAUUCCUUGAAAGCCUCCAUAUUGUAACCUUUAUUUUUGUUGGUAGAUUCAGGCUCCAAAGUUUUUUGUAGAAUUUUCUGUAGAUGGUUUGUAAAGCAUAAGCUCUAGGAUUUUCAUCCGAACUCUGUAAUAGUUUAUAGACACUUCGGACCGUGAAUUCACCCGACAUUUCACCUCCCCAAAUGAGAAAAUCUUCAUAAGGUGUUCGUGCCAGAGGGAUUCGAAGGAUUCUUACAGCGUCUUCUUCUGUGAAGGAAUUAUUUCCAAGUAUUCAUGGAGACAAUGCCUCAAUCUACCACACCCAAAACAGAAUGUCGGUAGCUUUUCAUACUUGAAUGGGAUCCAAAAUUUAUUCCCAUUACCUAUUGAAACAAAUAUACCCCUACGAAGGGGUUUCUGCACAUUUAAUUUAAUUCUAAGGCGACAUAACUCACCAUUGAUUUCA